rnacentral:lncRNA from 1 species
AUUACCUCAGUUUUUUCAUUUUGCUUGUUUGUGUUAGAUAGGAUCCGCAUGUUGUGUAAAUGAUUCGUAAGAAAAAUGAGUAAAGUACAAAGGGCAUUAUUGAUUAUGUCCAGGCUUUACUUGUCCAUUUGUUCCAUUCCUCGUCCUCGGCUAGAUACUUUUGGAUCCCACACAUCAACUUACAACUUUCCUAAUAGACAUGCAUAAAAAAAUGAGAGUCUAAAGCUUCUUAAAGGGGUAUUCUAGAUGAAUUUCAACUCGACGGGGUAAUUAGUGUCACAAAUGCACAUCUAGGUGGUAAAAUGUGGAAUUCACUCUCAAAUUAACUCACAAGUCACAAGCAGGUAUACUAUACUACUCCACUGAAGAGACUGUAGAUGCAUGCAGCUGCUACAUACAUGCUCUGAAGAAGGCAUGCGACCAGGAUAACUCCCCUUGCAGAUUGGACGCCCAGGAGCUCAAGACACAUUCUAUAGAUAUAAUGGACCAUCAGAGGCAGCGCAAACCGAAGGCGAGGGUCUGGGUGCGGGUGGCGUCUUUGAUGGAGAGGAAGGAGAUAAUCUUACUGAGGAUUUCAUCGGGGAGGGUGCUCCGCCAGACUUCCUCCUUGCAGUAGGAUCAAUGAGUGAAAGUGCUGAAUGAUUAUCCUGAUGUGUUAAGGCAAACAAAGGUUGAGUAAGAACCACAGACUAUAUAUGCAUGUGUAUAUACAGUAAUAAUGCCCAAGAAUGAGAACAGGCUCUGUAACUAUAUCUGCGCUUGUCCGUGUUUAUUAAAUAAGCCUGUGACAACAUAAUCUAAAAUCUGGAUGCUCCACAGGUUCAAUGUUUACAGUUCCAUAUGGCAUUCAAGUGUAAAGUAAAAGCAGCGGGCAUUGUGUUAUUUUAGUAGCCUGGGAUUAUAAGGUACGUACAACUUAGCUCCUACUUCCAUAGUAGGAAUACAUAGGCAGUUCAUAUAGAUGCAACCAUGGUCAAAAAUCAUAAAGACAUGAUGCACAAAUUUCAAAUGAA